UGAGCGGCAAAAUGUUUUCAUCCAUUCUCCUUCAUUCAUUUGUGAAACAGUUGUGUUCUUCAUAUGGAAACUCCAAUUAAUCAUCAAUCACUUCAAAAUCUUCUACAAAAUUAUGAAUACGUUUCCAUUUCUUUUCCCUUUAUUACCUUCACACGCUCGCUCUCUCUCUCUCCGAUUAAACUCCUUUCAGUUUCUUCCAUACCUAUGAAAACCCUAAUUGACAGUCGUAUUCAAUCAAAAUUGUAGUUUCUCAUACCUAUCAAAACCCUAAUUGAAACAUCAACCAUGAUAGAGGCAGCGAAACCAGGCGAUGGUUGUGUCUAGCGGCGACAGUGGGUCUAAUGUUGAUGGUGGAGAAGUCACGACAGCAGUGGUUUUGUGAGAUGUUGAAAGAAGAUGCAAAUAGUGGAAAAGUGUCGUCUGAUGUACCUGCUGCACUCAAAGAAUUGAAUGAAUAUGUUGAUGAUUUUACCUUAGCAGAUUCCUCAGCUUAUUUUCGAUUUGUAUGGCAUGCUUUUUAUGUGUUAAGAAGAUGAUUAUGUCUUUAAAUUAAAAGAUAAAGGAGUGAUACAAUUGAAUUAGUUUGAUCUAGAAUUUGAGAAGAGGUUUGUAAGAAUUUAUUAGGAAUGAGAUACAUCAUUUGCUUUUGAAUAUGUCUUGGUUUAAAUGAAAUUUGGUUUUAUAUAACAGUGAGUUUGAUUGACAAAGGUAAUAAACCAGAAGUAGAUGUGUUUUUUUUUUUUUUUUUGAAGCUAUUAUGAAUUUUUAGUAGAUUAUUUCGUGAUUAAUUUUGUAUAGGCAUUUGAUAGGCUUCUUCAUAUUUUUUUGUCACUGGCAGUUUCGAGUUUGAUAAACAAGGAUAAGGUGGAAUCAGUGGUCUCGAGCUUCUUCUCAGGUUGAUAAGCUGAAGGAUUUGUUUUUGAAACAACGGGAAGAGAUAAAGGCAUUAAAGAAUGCAAUUAUGUUCCUAGAUGUUAUGAUCCGAGCGAAGUGGGAGGUUGAUUCUCAAGUAACAUAAAACAGGCCAAACAAAUCAUCCUUAAUCUACAAAGUCAGGUAACUUCUCUCACCGACCAACUUCACAACCUUGCUCAGGAUCUAGCAGAGGUCAGUCAUAUUCCUGUAUAUCUUCACCUUUUUUGUUUAAAAUCUGAACACAUGUACUUGUGCUUAUCGUUCUCUCUGUCAAAAGAUAAUGGAUUCUUCAUUUGUUGGCAUAUCAGUUACAAAUAGCUUCUGCAACUUAGUUAACGACAUUCUAAUAUGUUUUUCCUUCAUAAAUGUGUUAAUGUGAUAGGUGAAAGCUGCCAAAUAUUAGAGAUGAUUCGUGUUAGAAUGACUUGAAAACGGGUUGGGCCACUUUAUGGUAAAAAUUUAUUUCAAUCAAUUAUAAUUUGAAGCUUUAGGGGAUUUUUAUUUGUUAAGCUGCGUGUACACGCGGUCUAUGUUGUGUUUUUCUAUCAUUCUAGCUUUCCAGCAAGGUUUCGACAUCUUAGGUUAAAUCUGGUGACAGAGACUAGGGUUAGGUUGUGGCCUUUAAAAGUAGUUAUUUGGACAAUUACAUGAUUACAUGAAAGUUAACUUAUUAAAUAAAAGGGAUUUAGAGAUAAUUUAGUAAUAUCAAGUUUACAUGAAGAUUGAAUUCCAAAAUUUCAUACUUCUCUGGAAGAAAAUGAUGCUUUUUUUAUUUACUUUAAUAAUUGUGUGGAUUGUUCUACUCAUUGAUGCAGAAUUGAGUGGUUCAAUUAGACACUUACUUGAACAAAAGGAACUAGAUGUUAAUUUUUAAAAUUUCUAUACUUCUCUUCUAUACUUUUUAGAUGGUUGAUUUCUCCACUAAUGAUUGCAGUUUUGAAUCUUUAUGUCAUGUAGCAGCCUACAUUCUAUCAGAGAGUACACACGUUUUAAAUUUCUUUGUCAGUAAAUGCAUACUUUGUACUACCAAAUUGUUCUCUCAUAGAAUAGUUCUAUCUAUAAGAUUUGAAAGGCAUAGUUGGAGUUAUAGAAACAUGAGAACCGGGGGUGUUACAACGGCUACUGUAACUUCAACCUUAUUUGAGUGUAUAAGCUCAGUCUAUUAUAAUAAACAAUUUAAAUGCUAAGAUUAACAUCCUAUAUGUAAAUUGUGUUAGGUAGUUAAGCAUUUUUUAAUACUUUUUGGUGAUCUUACUGGAGAAAUGGACGAGGGAUUCAAUGGGAUUGGCACCAGAAGAAUCUACGGCUUUUGUAAACGGUGGUUUAUUUCUAGAAUCAUUAGGCAGUGUUCCUUUAUCUUGCUUUCGCUAAUGAACACAACCAAGUCGUUUUUUGUUCGUUAGGGUGGCUUGGCGGAGUUGGGUUCUUUUGUGUGACAUUGUCGGUAAAAGAUAAAUUCCCAGCCAAGGGUUUGCUGGGAAAGAGGACCUUUUGGAACAUCAAAGGGGCAAUUUGAUACCACCAAGCAUCUUUGAGCUGGAGUUGUAGCUGCUAUGGUCUCAAGUCUGUAUUCACAAUUUCCGUUGCACCACUUGAAAGGCUGAAGCUGGAAUAUAUGGUUCCAAGAGAACUAAAACAUCUUAUUGAGCUAAUCCACUCAGUCAUGAUUAAAGUGGGGCGUUGACACACUCGGUGAAAGCACUUGACAUAUACUUGAAAAUCGAUACCAAGCUGGCAUUUGAAGUUGGAAGGCACAAAAACGAGCAAUGCCUCUGUUAAUACGAGAAUUGAUUCAUUCUCGAUUUUCAACCAACACUUUUCCAAGACGGAAUCAUGCUUAACUAUGCGUGUUCAUGGACAUAAUGGUUUUAAAUCUUGAAUUACAAGAGCAUUGGCCAACACUUGCGAGCCUAGGUGGUGACAACUUGAAAUUUUGGCGUCACGAAUGGGGAAAAUGUGUUAUUUGUGCAGAUUCGGUUUUCGAUGAGUGGGGUUACUUUAAGGCCGUACUCUCUCAAGAAAAAAACAAACCUUCUUGGUGCUCUCGAGAAUACAGGUGCAGGCACAAUCGUUUUUUGAAAUGUUGAGUGAAUUGAGGAAAAAAACACAGAAAUAGACAAUCCAUGCUUUAACUUUCUGGAACAACUUUUAACUUUUUAAGUCAUUUUAUCAUCAAAUGAAUAUUUUCAAUAAUUUUCAAAAGGGAGUUGCACAUGUAUACAUGACAUAAUUCUGAUAUGAUUAUGUUUUGGCAAAUUGGUAUAUGUCAAUUUAGAUUUUACUAACUGUGAAACUGGCACUUUAACUUUUCACUUUUAUUGCUAAGGGUGUUAAAAUUACAGUUUAAAUGGUUCCUUAUUUCUUUUAUGUUUUCUUUUAUCCUGUGUUAUUUAUUUUUCUCCUAAUUCCUUUUUUACAUUUUCCUUUGAGGAUUGGUGAAUUUGGGCUGCUCCUUGUCUUGUGCUGAGGAUUGGUGUAUUUGGGCUGCUCCUUGUCUUGUGCUGCUGGGCUCCUUCGAAGUGGGCUUAUAGCCGUUUGAGGAUUGCUACUUCUUCUAGGGUUUGCCCCUUAUUUAGAGCGGCUGGUUCUAGAGAGCAGUGCACUCGAUCUCAUCAUUGUCUCGUGCACUUCUUCUUAGCUGCUUAUCUUUGGUUCCUUGUUAUUCACACGUUACAUUCAUGAGUGCUGGGAUUGUUUGUAUUGAUCAUCCUACUGGAGAUCUUUUUGAUUCUUGUAAACUGUGAUGACUCGUUCAUCUCUUUGAUAUAUUUGAUUGUACUAU